rfam:Ovis aries breed Texel chromosome 12, whole genome shotgun sequence.
UCCUUGGUGGUCCAGGGGUUAAGACUCUGAGCUCCCAAGUCAGGGGGCAUGGGUUCAAUCCCCGGCUGGGGAA